UACGGGAGGCAGCAGUGAGGAAUAUUGGUCAAUGGGCGAGAGCCUGAACCAGCCAAGUAGCGUGAAGGAUGACUGCCCUAUGGGUUGUAAACUUCUUUUAUAAAGGAAUAAAGUCGGGUAUGCAUACCCGUUUGCAUGUACUUUAUGAAUAAGGAUCGGCUAACUCCGUGCCAGCAGCCGCGGUAAUACGGAGGAUCCGAGCGUUAUCCGGAUUUAUUGGGUUUAAAGGGAGCGUAGAUGGAUGUUUAAGUCAGUUGUGAAAGUUUGCGGCUCAACCGUAAAAUUGCAGUUGAUACUGGAUAUCUUGAGUGCAGUUGAGGCAGGCGGAAUUCGUGGUGUAGCGGUGAAAUGCUUAGAUAUCACGAAGAACUCCGAUUGCGAAGGCAGCCUGCUAAGCUGCAACUGACAUUGAGGCUCGAAAGUGUGGGUAUCAAACAGGAUUAGAUACCCUGGUAGUCCACACGG
rnacentral:rRNA from 1 species